AUGAGGUUCCCUGCUCAGAUCCUGGGGCUUUUUGUGCUCUGGAUUCCUGGAGCUAGUGGGGAUAUUGUGUUGACCCAGGAUGCACUCUCCAAUCCUGUCACUCUUGGAGAAUCAGCUUCCAUCUCCUGCAGGUCUAGUAAGAGUCUUCUACAUAGUAAUGGUAUCACUUACUUUCAUUGGAACCUGCAGAGGCCAGGCCAGUCUCCUCAGCUCCUGAUACAUCGGAUGUCCAACCUUGCCUCAGGAGUCUCAGACAGGUUCAGUGGCAGUGGGUCAGGGACAGAUUUCACACUGAAAAUCAGGAGAGUGGAGGCUGAGGAUAUUGGCGUUUAUUACUGUCAGCAAACUCUAGAACUUCCUCCCACAAUGAUACAGCCCUAA